UUUUUUAAAACAUUUCUUUAUGAUUAUAAUUAUAAGUAUUCUCUGCCCAAUGAAAAUUUUAAUGGCUGCAGUAUUUUGACUGUACAAAGGUAGCAUAAUCAUUUGUUCUUUAAUUAAGAUCUAGAAUGAAGGAGGUGAUGAAUUAAUAUCUUUAUUUGAUUUACAAAUUGAAUUUAAAUUUAAAGUAAAAAUUCUUUAAUAAUUUUAUGGGACGAGAAGACCCUAUAGAAUUUAAUUUUUAUAAUUAAUAUAAUUUUUUAUUAAUUAUUAAUUAUAAAAAUUUAUUUGGGAGGAAUAAUAAAUUUAUAAACUUUAUUAAAUUAGUAACUAAUAAUAAUUGAUUUUAUUGAUUUUAAUUUUAAAUAUUAAAUUAAAUUACCUUAGGGAUAACAGCAUAAUAUUUUUGGAAAGUUCAUAUUUAUAAAAAUGUUUGUGACCUC
rnacentral:rRNA from 1 species